UAAGAUCGGGACUAAACGACGGCCAGUCU
rnacentral:piRNA from 1 species